GACGAACGCUGGCGGCGUGCCUAAUACAUGCAAGUAGAACGCAGUUGGGAACGGGUGAGUAACGCGUAGGUAACUGCCUGGUAGCGGGGGGUAACUAUUGGAAACGCUAGCUAAUACAGCAUACUACCAGAUGGACCUGCGUGGUAUUAGCUAGUUGGUGGGGUAACGGCUCACCAAGGCAACGAUACAUAGCCGGCCUGAGAGGGUGAGCGGGCACACUGGGAAUGAGACAAGGCCCAGACUCCUACGGGAGGCAGCAGUAGGGAAUCUUCGGCAAUGGACGGAAGGCUGACCGAGCAACGCCGCGGGAGUGAAGAAGGUUUUCGGGUCGUAAAGCUCUGUUGUAAGAGAAGCGGUAUCUUACCAGAAAGGGACGGCUAACUACGUGCCAGCAGCCGCGGUAAUUC
rnacentral:rRNA from 1 species